CCUACGGGGGGCUGCAGUUAGGAAUCUUCCCCAAUGGGCGCAAGCCUGAGGGAGCGACGCCGCGUGCGGGAAGAAGGCCCUCGGGUCGUAAACCGCUGAAACGAGGACGAAACGCCCGCAAGGGAACUGACGGUACUCGUGUAAUAGCACCGGCUAACUCCGUGCCAGCAGCCGCGGUAAUACGGAGGGUGCAAGCGUUACCCGGAAUCACUGGGCGUAAAGGGCAUGUAGGCGGCUGUCUAAGUCCGAAUUCAAAGACCGAGGCUCAACCUCGG
rnacentral:rRNA from 1 species